rnacentral:misc_RNA from 1 species
AUUUUCUGUAUAUUUCAACAAUGAAAGGUACAAAAAUUUAUAUACAUGCUAACUUAAUCUAAUUAGGAAGAUUGUAAAUAUCCUUAAAAUUAUGUUAAUGAGAGUUUACUUCCCAUACAACUUUCUACUCUACAAUACUCCCCCUUAAGUUGGAGUAUAAAUAUUAAAGAGACAAUGCCUCAACAACAAUUUUAGGAAUGGAUAUUGAGUCUAAGGAAGUAACAAAACAAUGAGAGGAAGUAGACAAUAGGAUAAGUAAGUGUACAUUUACCUCUUGCGAAGGACAAUAGAAAGAUCUAGGUCAGACUAAUUAUCAGUGGAGGAGGUAGGAUCUUCCGAUGAAGAAGCUAGUUGUGGAUUUGAGUCAAGAGUCUCCAAUCUCUUGGAAUAAACUUGAACAAUGGGGAACAAACAAGUGUUGGGACAACUGGAGCAGGAGAAUUCUGAGGACUGGACAAUUGUUAGAUAGUGUAAAGCCUGAAUGUCACAAAUAGAUGUUGGAGGAAAAUAUGGAGUAUACUCGAUUAAUGUAAUAUUCAAUGAAUGUAAUAUCUGCAGACACAACAUAGCGAUUAAGGGUUGGAGAAAAACACCGAUAGCCUUUUUAAAGCCAAGAAUUUCCAAGGAAAAUACAUUUAAGAGACUUUGGAUCAAAUUUAGAAAACUGUGGAUGAAUAUCUCGCACAAAAUAAGUACAGCGAAAAACCCAGGUUCAAUAGGAAACAAUGAUUUAGAUGAAAACAA